rnacentral:rRNA from 1 species
AGAGUUUGAUCAUGGCUCAGAACGAACGCUGGCGGCAUGCCUAACACAUGCAAGUCGAACGCUCUCGGGAUUUCGGUUUCGAGGGAGUGGCGCACGGGUGAGUAGCGCGUGGGAACCUGCCCUGUUGUGGGGGAUAACCGAGGGAAACUUCGGCUAAUACCGCAUGCGCCCCCGGGUCUGGUCUUCGGAUUGGUCCUGGGGGGAAAGAUUGAUUCGCAGCAGGAGGGGCCCGCGUCGGAUUAGCUGGUUGGUGGGGUAACGGCCUACCAAGGCGUCGAUCCGUAGCUGGUCUGAGAGGAUGAUCAGCCACACUGGGACUGAGACACGGCCCAGACUCCUACGGGAGGCAGCAGUGGGGAAUAUUGGACAAUGGGCGCAAGCCUGAUCCAGCAAUGCCGCGUGAGUGAUGAAGGCCUUAGGGUUGUAAAGCUCUUUCGCCCGCGACGAUGAUGACGGUAGCGGGAGAAGAAGCCCCGGCUAACUUCGUGCCAGCAGCCGCGGUAAUACGAAGGGGGCGAGCGUUGUUCGGAUUUACUGGGCGUAAAGGGCGCGUAGGCGGCCUUCCAAGUCAGGCGUGAAAGCCCCGGGCUCAACCUGGGAGGUGCGCUUGGGACUGGCGGGCUGGAGUUCGGGAGAGGAGCGUGGAAUUCCCAGUGUAGAGGUGAAAUUCGUAGAUAUUGGGAAGAACACCGGUGGCGAAGCGGCGCUCUGGACCGAGACUGACGCUGAGGCGCGAAGGCGUGGGGAGCAAACAGGAUUAGAUACCCUAGUAGUCC